GGCGGCGGCACGCCGUCGCGUCCGGGCCAGUCGGUUGGCGAACGCAGCGCUUCUUAGAGGGACGGGCGGCAGAAAGCUGCACGAGGCGGAGCGAUAACAGGUCUGUGAUGCCCUUAGAUGUCCGGGGCCGCACGCGCGCUACACUGGAGGUAUCAGCGGGCGCGUCUCCCCCGGCCCGAGAGGGUCGGGAAACCUCUGAACCACCUCCCGUGAUAGGGAUCGGGGCCUGGAACCAACCCCGUGAACGAGGAAUUCCCGGUAGACGCGGGUCAUCAGCCCGCGUCGAUCACGUCCCUGCCCUUUGUACACACCGCCCGUCGCUACUACCGAUCGAACGGUCCGGUGAGGUCCUCGGAUCUGGCCGACGAGUCCGCUUACGCCGUCG
rnacentral:lncRNA from 1 species